rnacentral:rRNA from 1 species
UACGGAGGGUGCAAGCGUUGUCCGGAUUUAUUGGGUUUAAAGGGUGCGUAGGCGGCUCAUUAAGUCAGCGGUGAAAGCCUCCAGCUCAACUGGAGAACUGCCAUUGAUACUGAUGAGCUUGAGUAUACUUGAGGUAGGCGGAAUUGACAGUGUAGCGGUGAAAUGCGUAGAGACCCGGAGGAACACCAGUGGCGAAGGCGGCUUCCUGGUCUGCGACUGACGCUGUGGCGCGAAAGCUAGGGGAGCAAACGGG